rnacentral:rRNA from 1 species
GACGAACGCUGGCGGCGUGCUUAACACAUGCAAGUCGAACGAUGAAACCUAGCUUGCGAGGUCGAUUAGUGGCGAACGGGUGAGUAACACGUGACUAACCUGCCCCUUUCGCUGGCAUAACGCUCCGAAAGGAGUCCUAAUAGCGGAUACACACACCGAGGCACAUGCCUUGGUGUGGAAAGUUUUUCGGCAAGGUAUGGAGUCGCGGCCUAUCAGCUUGUUGGUGACGUAAGGGCUCACCAAGGCGACGACGGGUAGCCGGCCUGAGAGGGCGACCGGACACACGGGGACUGAGACACGACCCAGACUCCUACGGGAGGCAGCAGUGGGGAAUAAUGCACAAUGGGCGCAAGCCUGAUGCAGCGACGCCGCGUGAGGGAUGAAGGUCUUCGGAUUGUAAACCUCUUUCAGUAGGGACGAAGCGAAAGUGACGGUACCUAAAGAAGAAGCACCGGCUAACUACGUGCCAGCCGCCGCCGUAA